AUUGAACGCUGGCGGCAGGCCUAACACAUGCAAGUCGAGCGGAUGACGGGAGCUUGCUCCUUGAUUCAGCGGCGGACGGGUGAGUAAUGCCUAGGAAUCUGCCUGGUAGUGGGGAACAACGUUUCGAAAGGAACGCUAAUACCGCAUACGUCCUACGGGAGAAAGCAGGGGACCUUCGGGCCUUGCGCUAUCAGAUGAGCCUAGGUCGGAUUAGCUAGUUGGUGGGGUAAUGGCUCACCAAGGCGACGAUCCGUAACUGGUCUGAGAGGAUGAUCAGUCACACUGGAACUGAGAAACGGUCCAGACUCCUACGGGAGGCAGCAGUGGGGAAUAUUGGACAAUGGGCGAAAGCCUGAUCCAGCCAUGCCGCGUGUGUGAAGAAGGUCUUCGGAUUGUAAAGCACUUUAAGUUGGGAGGAAGGGCAGUAAGUUAAUACCUUGCUGUUUUGACGUUACCGACAGAAUAAGCACCGGUUAACUCUGUGCCAGCCGCCGCGGUAAGAC
rnacentral:rRNA from 1 species